rnacentral:tRNA from 1 species
GGCAGAGUUCUGCGGAAAAGAGUCAGGCUCAUAACCUGAAGGUCGUAGGUUCAAAUCCUACCCCCGCAACCA